rnacentral:tRNA from 1 species
GAGGGUAUAGCUCAAGUGGUAGAGCACAUGCUUAGCAUGCACAAGGUCCUGGGUUCAAUCCCCAAUGCUCCUC